rnacentral:rRNA from 1 species
ACGAACGCUGGCGGCGCGCCUAACACAUGCAAGUCGAACGAGAGAGAGGGAGCUUGCUUCCUUGAUCGAGUGGCGAACGGGUGAGUAACGCGUGAGGAACCUGCCUCAAAGAGGGGGACAACAGUUGGAAACGACUGCUAAUACCGCAUAAGCCCACGACCCGGCAUCGGGAAGAGGGAAAAGGAGCAAUCCGCUUUGAGAUGGCCUCGCGUCCGAGUAGCUAGUUGGUGAGGUAACGGCCCACCAAGGCGACGAUCGGUAGCCGGACUGAGAGGUUGAACGGCCACAUUGGGACUGAGACACGGCCCAGACUCCUACGGGAGGCAGCAGUGGGGAAUAUUGCACAAUGGGGGAAACCCUGAUGCAGCGACGCCGCGUGGAGGAAGAAGGUCUUCGGAUUGUAAACUCCUGUUGUUGAGGAAGAUAAUGACGGUACUCAACAAGGAAGUGACGGCUAACUACGUGCCAGCCGCCGCGGUAA